rnacentral:pre_miRNA from 1 species
UUAAAUCAAAUAUGUAUGGAGUUGGAACGUUUGCCUACGUUUGCCGCUAGGGGCGCUGUUUUAACUGCAUAUAAAUUUGAGUUA